rnacentral:sRNA from 1 species
GUAGGGUGCUGUGGCACACACCUGUAGUCUCCAUUACUCUGGAGGCUGAGACAGGAACAUCACUUGAGCCCAGGAGUUCAAAGUCAACCUGGGCAACAUAGCAAGCCGCUGUCUCAG